CGGGGGAGACCUUGGUGUGAUCAUUGCAAAAAGCCCGGCCACUCUAAGGAGAAGUGUUGGAAGCUUCAUGGUAAGCCUCAGGACUGAAAGUCCAAGCACUCUCAAGAUAAUAAAUCAAGCCUUGUUGCCACCUCUGUUACUAGUUUCACUAAAGAACAGAUUGCUGAACUUCAAAAACUAUUUGGAAAGUUUCAAGGGUCUUGUGAGGGUAAUCUGGUCAUAAAAGAUCCAGAAGGCACUGAACUCGAAGAAGAUGAUUGGUAAGGCCAGCUUGCAUAAUGGUCUCUACAUCCUCCCUACCUCUCCUAAAAUCGAGAUCUCCAAGUCAUUUACCGCUUUAGGAAAAGUUGAUACUGUUAUGUUAUGGCACUUUCGUUUAGGCCAUCCUAGUUUCCAAUACCUUGCAAAAUUGUUUCCUGCUCUAUUCAUUAAUAAAAGGCCUAAUUCUUUUUCUUGCAAA